rnacentral:rRNA from 2 species
CACGUAGGGCGCAAGCGUUGUCCGGAAUUAUUGGGCGUAAAGAGCUCGUAGGCGGUCUGUUGCGUCCGCUGUGAAAACUCGGGGCUUAACCCCGAGCCUGCAGUGGAUACGGGCAGACUAGAGGUAGGUAGGGGAGAAUGGAAUUCCCGGUGUAGCGGUGAAAUGCGCAGAUAUCGGGAGGAACACCGGUGGCGAAGGCGGUUCUCUGGGCCUUACCUGACGCUGAGGAGCGAAAGCGUGGGGAGCGAACAGG